AGCGCCACCUUGCCAAGGUGGAGGU
rnacentral:tRNA from 1 species